UGAAGCCUGCGGUUCAAUUGGAGUCAACGCCAGGAAACUUACCAGGAGAGACAGCAGGUUGAGGGUCAGUCUGAAGAACUUACCUGACGAGCUGAGAGGAGGUGCAUGGCCGUCGCCAGCUCGUGCCGUGAGGCGUCCUGUUAAGUCAGGCAACGAGCGAGACCCCUAUCGGUAAUUGCUAACUGCUCAGAGAUGGGCAGAGGCUAGUUACAGAGACUGCCGUUGAUAAAACGGAGGAAGGAAGGGGCCACGGCAGGUCAGUAUGCCCCGAAACUCCUGGGCCACACGCGGGCUGCAAUGGUAGGGACAAUAGGUUCCGACCUCGAAAGAGGAAGGCAAUCCCCAAACCCUACCCCAGUUGUGAUCGAGGAUUGAAACCCGUCCUCGUGAAUAUGGAAUCCCUAGUAACCGCGUGUCAUCACCGCGCGGUGAAUACGUCCCUGCUCCUUGC
rnacentral:rRNA from 1 species